rnacentral:rRNA from 1 species
CAAGUAGCGGAGCAUGUGGUUUAAUUCGAAGCAACGCGAAGAACCUUACCUAAGCUUGACAUACUUAUGACCGAUACCUAAUAGUAUUUUUUCCUUCGGGGACAUGAGAUACAGGUGGUGCAUGGUUGUCGUCAGCUCGUGUCGUGAGAUGUUGGGUUAAGUCCCGCAACGAGCGCAACCCUUGCCUUUAGUUGCCAGCAUUAAGUUGGGCACUCUAGAGGGACUGCCAGGGAUAACCUGGAGGAAGGUGGGGAUGACGUCAAAUCAUCAUGCCCCUUAUGCUUAGGGCUACACACGUGCUACAAUGGGUGGUACAGAGGGCAGCCAAGUCGUGAGGCGGAGCUAAUCCCUUAAAGCCAUUCUCAGUUCGGAUUGUAGGCUGAAACUCGCCUACAUGAAGCUGGAGUUACUAGUAAUCGCAGAUCAGAAUGCUGCGGUGAAUGCGUUCCCGGGGUCUUGUACACACC